rnacentral:rRNA from 1 species
GAUGAACGCUGGCGGCGUGCCUAAUACAUGCAAGUCGAGCGAAUGGAUUAAGAGCUUGCUCUUAUGAAGUUAGCGGCGGACGGGUGAGUAACACGUGGGUAACCUGCCCAUAAGACUGGGAUAACUCCGGGAAACCGGGGCUAAUACCGGAUAAUAUUUUGAACUGCAUGGUUCAAAAUUGAAAGGCGGCUUCGGCUGUCACUUAUGGAUGGACCCGCGUCGCAUGAGCUAGUUGGUGAGGUAACGGCUCACCAAGGCAACGAUGCGUAGCCGACCUGAGAGGGUGAUCGGCCACACUGGGACUGAAACACGGCCCAGACUCCUACGGGAGGCAGCAGUAGGGAAUCUUCCGCAAUGGACGAAAGUCUGACGGAGCAACGCAGCGUGAGUGAUGAAGGCUUUCGGGUCGUAAAACUCUGUUGUUAGGGAAGAACAAGUGCUAGUUGAAUAAGCUGGCACCUUGACGGUACCUAACCAGAAAGCCACGGCUAACUACGUGCCAGCAGCCGCAGUAA